rnacentral:rRNA from 1 species
AUUGUCAGCUAAGUGGCACACGGGUGAGUAAUGUAUAGAUAACCUGCCCUUAAGAAAGGAAUAACAGUUGGAAACGACUGCUAAUGCCCUAUAUGCCUUUAAUACAUAAGUAUGCAAGGGAAACGCUUUAGUGCUUAAGGAUGGGUCUGUAUGGUAUCAGCUUGUUGGUGAGGUAAUGGCUCACCAAGGCUAUGACGCCUAACUGGUUUGAGAGGAUGAUCAGUCACACUGGAACUGAGACACGGUCCAGACUCCUACGGGAGGCAGCAGUGGGGAAUAUUGCACAAUGGACGAAAGUCUGAUGCAGCAACGCCGCGUGGAGGAUGACACAUUUCGGUGCGUAAACUCCUUUUAUAUAGGAAGAUAAUGACGGUACUAUAUGAAUAAGCACCGGCUAACUCCGUGCCAGCAGCCGCGGUAAUACGGAGGGUGCAAGCGUUACUCGGAAUCACUGGGCGUAAAGAGCGUGUAGGCGGGUAUAUAAGUCAGAAGUGAAAUCCAAUAGCUCAACUAUUGAACUGCUUUUGAAACUGUAUACCUAGAAUGUGGGAGAGGUAGAUGGAAUUUCUGGUGUAGGGGUAAAAUCCGUAGAGAUCAGAAGGAAUACCGAUUGCGAAGGCGAUCUACUGGAACAUUAUUGACGCUGAGACGCGAAAGCGUGGGGAGCAAACAGGAUUAGAUACCCUGGUAGUCCACGCCCUAAACGAUGUACACUAGUUGUUGUGAGGCUCGACCUUGCAGUAAUGCAGUUAACACAUUAAGUGUACCGCCUGGGGAGUACGGUCGCAAGAUUAAAACUC